rnacentral:misc_RNA from 1 species
GAAAUGCGAUAAGUAAUGUGAAUUGCAGAAUUCAGUGAAUCAUCGAAUCUUUGAACGCACAUUGCGCCCGCCAGUAUUCUGGCGGGCAUGCCUGUCCGAGCGUCAUUUCAACCAUCAAGCCCCCGGGCUUGUGUUGGGGACCUGCGGCUGCCCGCAGGCCCUGAAAACCAGUGGCGGGCUCGCUGUCACACCGAGCGUAGUAGCAAUCACCUCGCUCAGGGCGUGCUGCGGGUUCCGGCCGUUAAACAGCCUUACAAAACCCAAGGUUGACCUCGGAUCAGGUAGGAAGACUCGCUGAACUUAAGC